AGGACGAACGCUGGCGGCGUGCUUAACACAUGCAAGUCGAGCGGAAAGGCCCUUCGGGGUACUCGAGCGGCGAACGGGUGAGUAACACGUGAGUAAUCUGCCCCUAGCUCUGGGAUAGCUCCGGGAAACCGGGAUUAAUACUGGAUACGACCACCUUAGACAUCUUUUGUGGUGGAAAGAAUUUCGGCUAGGGAUGAGCUCGCGGCCUAUCAGCUUGUUGGUGGGGUAACGGCCUACCAAGGCGACGACGGGUA
rnacentral:rRNA from 1 species